AACAAGAAGUUACUACUGUCAUCAUUAUGAUUCAUGUCAAACACAAAUAUUUAUAAGAUAAUAUUAUGAGAUUAAUCUUAUGUUUAAUCAUACUUUGGGGGAGCAGCAAAGGACAUUUCAAUCACUUCAUAUCUCUUCUGUCAUGAGUUUCUCUUCCUCCCCAAAUAAAAAGGAAAUUAAUGUAUGCUCCAGUAGAUUCAGCUAAAUGGAAACCACCAUUUCUUAGGAAGCAACGUUCUACAAAGUCUAUAAUAUAAACAUGGCUACAGGGUUUAUCUCUUGUAUGAGUCAACUGUUUAAAAAAAAAAAAAAAGCAUUCCCAUUUUCAUGAGCUCUUUUAUUCUUAUUUUUAUCAGUUGUAACCACACUGUCCAUUCUUAUCUAAGCACCUUAGCUCAAUCCUGCAAAAACAUGUUCCUUUUUAAAAUCAGGGUAGUCAAAGGACCUUUACACAUAUCUAUAGAGAGCUAUAUUUCCUCUCCAUCAGAAUAAAGGAAAUUGAACCGAGAUGGCCUAAUACAGACUAUAUGGGAUUCUGGAAUCUUUGGGGUGACAGAGCACCCACUCACUAUCAGCACUUUUGAAUAGACCAAUUGUUGCUCUGUUUUGGAAAAGCUUUAGAAACCUUGUCAUUGGCACAAAUAAAACAUUGAACAGAAAAAUUUUCCUCCUUCUGCAUUUUUCAGACCUGCAAUAGUACCACACAGAGGCAUAGUUAAAUCCCUUUGGGAAGAAUGUAGGGUAAGUAUGAAGUAUCUUUUGCUCCACUUAUUUCAAGGACUGGUUGGGUCCUUGCUGCCUUCCUGACUUACCAUUCUAUAUGUAUCCUUCUCAAUGCCAUGUACUUGGUGGAUGAAGACAAGCUUCCCCAGGGAAAUUGUAGGAUUUUUUUUUUUUUUUUUGGACCUUCCUUCAGAUCUUUUGCUAGAACUCUCAAAUUCUACAAAACUCUGCGCACACAAAAUCACAGCCUUGGAAAAUGGAGUAUGUAUAAGGAAGCCUACAGGCUGGGGUAGGUACAGACCCUGAGCACUUUCUGGGUUCCAGAUGAAGAAGCUUAUAGACAAGGCUCUGGCUUCUCCCCGCACUGGCUCCAGGUCCUCCCUGCAUUUCUGCCUCCAGAAGGCCCUGCAGAAGUCUGAGCUCCCUGAGCUGCCACCUGGUCCCAAGGCUGAAAGGAGAAGGCCGAAAAGAUGAUCCUUUGAAAUAAAAGAGAGUGGGAAAGACA
rnacentral:lncRNA from 12 species